AGCUGAAAUGACCGUUUUUGAGUCGGCGGAGACUGAGACUCAGGUAAGCCAGGACGCAGCCCAGACGAUGGAUGGAUGGAUGGGUCGUGAUUCACGCUUGGAGCUCCGCACGACGAAGCCAAUUGGCGAUCGGUUCACAUUUUGACCCCGACUUAUUGAGCGGGUUGCUGGGCGUAGCUGCUAAUUUUAAUUAUAACCAAAGCGGCCGAGCUUCCGAUGUCAAAGAUGCGGGAAGCAAUUAAAGCACUUGAGCAUCAAUUAGGUUGAAGAAAAACUGCAUUCAUACUACGGAGGAGCAAAAUAUUACAAUUAACUCGAAAGAGAGUUACAAGAAUACUUGUCAAAUUGGUAUUGAAAUCUAUUUAUGUAUGAUCGGUAUGGAACCGGAUUUGAACUGGCUCUGGAAAUUUAAAAUAUAC